CCUGUAAAUUCGCACAAUUCCUGUGGUACCACAAAUUACAAGUAUCACAGCUUAUCCAGUCCUCACCGUCAACAUAAUGUCCAUUACAUACUGCGCAGUCCUCAUCUUGAUCAUCUACAUUAGCUGCUGGAGUCUUCUUCUUGAUGCUUCCUUUACCUUUUCCCUUUCCUUUACCCUUUCCCUUUCCUUUACCUUUCCCUUUUCCCUUCCUUGAUUGACAUUCUGUGGAAAUUUUUGUAGGUGGGAGUCCUGAAGGCAAAGAAUCAGAAGUAACACUGACAGGAGCUGGGGGAGGCUGUGGGGGGACGUAUCCACUCGGUCCUGGAAUAUCUUCAACUUCAGGCACAGAACGUGAAGAUGCAUCUGACGGAAGUUUGUUUGGACAAGGAAGGACAGAUAGUCUCUCCGAAAUUGACUGAACGCCACCUUCAAGAAUAACUGAAUCACUGAAUGAUAGAGUUCUAUGAAGUUUCCACAAGAAGUUACAAUUGAGUGUGCUGGCAGUUCUUCUGCUGACAUUGAAGUGCUCUUGAUAGAUUCAGGAUCUUGAAGAUUGAGAUGCCCUGAUAAAUCUUCAAAGAACUUUCUCUCCAGAUAAAAUACAAGUGUUGUCAGAAACUGAAACUGUGGUCCACUGUCUGUUAUUGAAUAAAUAUUAAGCAUUGAUAUUACG